UUUUUGCUUAAAAACAAUGAAGUGUGCAAGUCAGAUUUCUUAAUGAAAGUGAAUGAAUAUAUAGAAUAAUAUUCCUGAAAAUUCCACAUAUUUUAAUUCUUGGACUGCUAAAUUUUUCAUAUGUGGCCAUAUAUCUAUACAGGUGUUUGGGUGUUUAUGUAAAUUUGCCAGGCUUGGUGUGUAUGUGGGUAUGCUUCUGUAAGUAUCUGUGUAUGUGUAUAAACCAUCAACAGUAAAGUAUAGUAUUUGUGAUACAGCCUUAUAAGUUACUGGCUCUUGUGGAAUUAUACAUAAAAUCUUCAUGUAAUAAAGUGUUACUCUGUGACAUAUUAGUUGGGGCAUGUUUAAAUUAAAAAGCAGUUUGCUCAACUGGUAUGGCAAAUGGUUCAAAAUAUUCAGAUAUACUGAUUUAUAAAAAAAUUGAAAUUCAGCUAAAUCCAAUAUUGUGUUAACUAUUAAAUAUAAGUAACAUUAAUGUUUAUAUUGAUAUAUCUUUGUUUUCAAUUAUUAACAAGAUCGAAUACUAUGAUUUUUUUCUAUUGUGUGUGUAUGGAUGGCUUGUAGUGGUUGCCAAUCACUAUACUCUAAAAAAAUGAAACAUUGAUACAGUUGCAGAUUGUCAAGUAUAAUGUUGGAACAUAAAUAGAAGAAAAUCCAGAGUAUAUUUGAUAUGAAGUAAGUUUAAUAACAAAGCCAGAUAACCUGUAAGGCGAUUCUGUAUGUUCUUUCAAAACUCUAAACUGUUGACAAAUUUUGAAUAUACUUGCUGUAUGUGUGUAUAUAUCUACAUAAAUAUAUACACACUUGAAAAUGUUAAUCGAAUGAAUUUACUAUAUAUGCAUACAUUUGCUCAUUUAUGCAUAUUUGCAUUAACCUUGCUAGCAUCUCUAUUUGUGCAUGUUAGUGACAACUGUCUUUGAUUGAAAUAUUGCACAGAGGCAUAGUGUGAAAAAUAGAGAUACACUGAAUUCAAUAUACCAAUUGCCUGAUAUAGCGUGUUGUACUGUCAGUUGAAAAAUAUUUGUAAUUUUGUGCCUGUUAUGCAUGUGGAAAAAAGAGGAAAUCAGAGGCCCUCACUAUAAUUUUUAAGGGUGCAUGACAUAUGAUGUCUUUAAAAUGUGGUUCAUUUUAGUAGAUUAUGGAUAAAUUCCAAGAUAGUAUAAAUGAUGCAUGUAAUACCUGAGUGUUUGUAUUAUAUAUGGCCACAAAAUGUUUUUGAAGCCAGGGUAGUAGAUAUCUAAAAGUUAUAGGCAAAGAAGUAUGAAAGUUAACUUUCUGUGAUGUGUUUUUGAGGAGUUGAUACUCAUCAGUAAGCAAGGAAUUGAGUUUAUUUUUUCUAAGAACUCUUUACUUUGAAAUAUAUUAUGAAUGUUGUAAAUUUGGAUAACGUUUUUAUAAAGAGGUUACAUACUUUCUGCUCACAGUUUCAGUUGAUUGGAUGUGUAUUCUCUUUAAAAAAAAACAUUUUGUGUUAAAACAUUUGACACAGCAAUAUAUUUUUUAAAUCCAUCAACUAAGUCCAUCAGCAGAGCUUUAUAGAGCUAAGGGUUGACAAAAUGUUUCAUUGAACUACCCAAUUUUGAAAGUUCAGUUACUUUGUGCUGUGGUUUCAUUGUAAAAUGUUGUACCUUGUGUUUCACACUGGACCAUGUUAUUCCUCUUGAAGUUAACUUUGUGACACUUACCACCUUAGAAUAACUAUAUAAUAAACAGGAAAAACUGC
rnacentral:lncRNA from 1 species